UGAAGCUACAAAGAGCUAACGGCGGAUGCCUUGGCACUAGAAGCCGACGAAGGACGCGAUAGCGGCGAUACGCUACGGGGAGCAGCUAAAACGCCUUGAUCCGUAGGAAUCCGAAUGGGGAAACCCUACAGAGUUAAUCCUCUGUAAUCCAUAUCUGAAUACAUAGGAUAUGAGAAGGAAAGCCAGUGAACUGAAACAUCUUAGUACCUGGACGAAAAGAAAAUAACCUAAUGAUUCCCUUAGUAGCGGCGAGCGAAAGGGGAAGAGCCUAAACCUUUUGUACGUAAUAACUUGCAGGUGUUGUGCAAGAGGUGUUGUGGGACUUUCGGUGAAUUCUGCAAAAUUCACAUGGAGUUACAAAUUUGUUGUUUAGAUGAACACAGCUGGAAAGCUGGGCCAUAGAAGGUGAUAGCCCUGUAACUUAAAAAUAACAAACUCCAGAAAGUAUCCCGAGUAAGGCGGGACACGUGGAAUCCUGUCUGAAUCUGCGAGAACCAUCUCGUAAGGCUAAAUACUUUCUAGUGACCGAUAGUGAACAAGUACAGCGAUGGAAAGGCGAAAAGAACAGUGAGAAGCUGAGUGAAAUAGAACCUAAAACCGUUAGUUUACAAUCAGUUAAACCACUAUCAAUAGUGGGAUAACGUGCCUGUUGAAGAAUGAUCCGGCGAGUUAACGUAUGUAGUUUGGUUAAGGGGUUAAUACCUGAAGCCUCAGCGAAAGCGAGUCUGAAUAGGGCGAAUUUAUUACAUGCGUUAGACCCGAACCCUGGUGAUCUAACCAUGACCAGAAUGAAGCGUAGGUGACACUACGUGGAGGUUCGAACCGACUGAUGUUGAAAAAUCAGCGGAUGAGUUGUGGUUAGGGGUGAAAUGCCAAUCGAACCAGGAGCUAGCUGGUUCUCUCCGAAAUGUAUUGAGGUACAGCCUCGAGUUUAUCUUACGGGAGGUAGAGCACUAGUUUGAUGCGGGCCCAGAAUCUGGGUACCAAAUCAUGUUAAACUCCGAAUACCCGUAAUGUUACUGCUCGGGAGUGAGACUAUGAGUGAUAAGAUCCAUGGUCAAAAGGGAAAGAGCCCUCACCGUCAGCUAAGGUCCCAAAUUUAUACUAAGUGAAUAAGGAGGUGAAGUUGCUUUGACAACCAGGAGGUUGGCUUAGAAGCAGCCAUUCCUUGAAAGAGUGCGUAAUAGCUCACUGGUCAAGCGACUUUGCGCCGAAAAUGUACAGGGGCUAAGUAUAAAACCGAAGCUACGGGAUUAGAAUUUAUUCUAAUCGGUAGGAGAGCGUUCUGUUGUAGGUUGAAGUCAGAUCGAAAGGACUGAUGGACGAAGCAGAAGUGAGAAUGUCGGAAUGAGUAGCGAAAACAUUGGUGAGAAUCCAAUGCACCGAAAACCUAAGGUUUCCCACGGCAGGCUCGUCCGCGUGGGGUUAGUCGGAACCUAAGAUGAGGCUGAAAAGCGUAGUCGAUGGACAACGGGUUGAUAUUCCCGUACCAUCUUAAUAUCGUUAUCAGCUGCGGAGGGACGCAGGAGGCUAUGCACGCCGUCGAUUGGAUGUGACGGUUUAAGCGUGUAGGUAGUUUUGAUAGGAAAAUCCGUCAAGACGUUAUAAACUGAGGCGUGAUGAGGAGGGUCUACGGACCCGAAGGUGUUGACGCCACACUGCCAAGAAAAGCUUCGCGAGCGAGAUAUUAGGAUGUCCGUACCGUAAACCGCCACAGGUAGGUUGGCAGAGAAUGCCAAGGUGCGCGAGAUAACUCUUGCUAAGGAACUCGGCAAAAUAACCUCGUAACUUCGGGAGAAGAGGUACCCUGCUAGCGUGAUUUACCCUUGCGGUAAUGAGCGUGAUAGGGUCGCAGUGAAUAGGCCCAGGCGACUGUUUACCAAAAACACAGGUCUCUGCUAAGUCGAAAGACGAUGUAUAGGGGCUGACGCCUGCCCAGUGCUGGAAGGUUACGUGGAAGGGUUAGAACUUCGGUUCGAAGCUCUGAAACUAAGCCCCAGUGAACGGCGGCCGUAACUAUAACGGUCCUAAGGUAGCGAAAUUCCUUGUCGGGUAAGUUCCGACCCGCACGAAUGGCGUAACGAUCUGGGCACUGUCUCGGCAAGAGACUCGGCGAAAUUGGAUUAUCCGUGAAGAUACGGAUUACGUAUACCAGGACAGAAAGACCCUAUUGAGCUUUACUGUAGCUUGAAAUUGAAUUUGGGUUAUGCAUGUGCAGUAUAGGUGGGAGACUUUGAAGCGAAAACGUCAGUUUUUGUGGAGUCGUCGUUGAGAUACCACUCUUGCGUGAUUUGAAUUCUAACUGUUUACCUCCAAGAUCAGGUGACAGGACAGUUUCUGGUAGGCAGUUUGACUGGGGCGGUCGCCUCCUAAAGAGUAACGGAGGCGCUCAAAGGUUCCCUCAGGAUGGUCGGAAAUCAUCCAUAGAGUGUAAAGGCAUAAGGGAGCUUGACUGCGAGACCUACAAGUCGAGCAGGGCGGAAACGCGGACUUAGUGAUCCGGCGGUCCCGAAUGGAAGGGCCGUCGCUCAUCGGAUAAAAGUUACCAUAGGGAUAACAGGCUUAUCUCCCCCAAGAGUUCACAUCGACGGGGAGGUUUGGCACCUCGAUGUCGGCUCGUCGCAUCCUGGAGCGGUAGUACGUUCCAAGGGUUGGGCUGUUCGCCCAUUAAAGCGGUACGCGAGCUGGGUUCAGAACGUCGUGAGACAGUUCGGUCCAUAUCCGGUAUAUGCGCAAGAGAAUUGAGUGGAGUCGUCCUUAGUACGAGAGGACCGGGACGAACGAACCUCCAGUAUACCUGUUGUUCUACCAAGAGCAAACGCAGGGUAGCUGUGUUCGGAGCGGAUAAGUGCUGAAAGCAUAUAAGUACGAAGCCCACCACAAGAUAAGUUCUCUCUCUGGGUAACCAGGUAAGUCCCCGAACAGAUUAUUCGGUUGAUAGGUUGGAAGUGGAAGUGUGGCAACACAUGCAGCUGACCAAUACUAAUAGGACGAGGGCUUC
rnacentral:rRNA from 1 species